GAUGAAGAACGUAGCGAAAUGCGAUAAGUAAUGUGAAUUGCAGAAUUCAGUGAAUCAUCGAAUCUUUGAACGCACAUUGCGCCCCCUGGUAUUCCGGGGGGCAUGCCUGUUCGAGCGUCAUUUCACCACUCAAGCCUCGCUUGGUAUUGGGCAACGCGGUCCGCCGCGUGCCUCAAAUCGACCGGCUGGGUCUUCUGUCCCCUAAGCGUUGUGGAAACUAUUCGCUAAAGGGUGUUCGGGAGGCUACGCCGUAAAACAACCCCAUUUCUCAGGUUGACCUCGGAUCAGGUAGGGAUACCCGCUGAACUUAAGCAUAUCAAUAAGCGGAGGA
rnacentral:misc_RNA from 1 species